rnacentral:rRNA from 1 species
CGCGCAGGCGGUCCUUCAAGUCAGGGGUGAAAGCCCAGAGCUCAACUCUGGAACUGCCUUUGAGACUAGAGGACUUGGGUACGGGAGAGGUGAGUGGAAUUCCGAGUGUAGAGGUGAAAUUCGUAGAUAUUCGGAAGAACACCAGUGGCGAAGGCGGCUCACUGGCCCGUUACCGACGCUCAGGCGCGACAGCGUGGGGAGCAAACAGGAUUAGAUACCCUGGUAGUCCACGCCGUAAACGAUGGAUGCUAGCCGUUGGUAAGCAUGCUUAUCAGUGGCGCAGCUAACGCAUUAAGCGUCCCGCCUGGGGAGUACGGCCGCAAGGUUGAA